UACAGAGGGGGCAAGCGUUGUUCGGAAUUACUGGGCGUAAAGGGCGCGUAGGCGGCCUGCUAAGUCGAACGUGAAAUCCCUGGGCUCAACCCAGGAACUGCGUCCGAUACUGGUUGGCUUGAAUCCGGGAGAGGGAUGUGGAAUUCCAGGUGUAGCGGUGAAAUGCGUAUAUAUCUGGAGGAACACCGGUGGCGAAGGCGACAUCCUGGACCGGUAUUGACGCUGAGGCGCGAAAGCCAGGGGAGCAAACGGG
rnacentral:rRNA from 1 species